CAGUCGCCGCGGUAAUACGGAGGGGGCUAGCGUUGUUCGGAAUUACUGGGCGUAAAGCGCACGUAGGCGGCUUGGUAAGUUAGAGGUGAAAGCCCGGAGCUCAACUCCGGAAUUGCCUUUAAGACUGCCGAGCUAGUAGGUGAGAGAGGUAAGUGGAAUUCCGAGUGUAGAGGUGAAAUUCGUAGAUAUUCGGAAGAACACCAGUGGCGAAGGCGGCUUACUGGCUCAUUCUAGACGCUGAGGUGCGAAAGCGUGGGGAGCAAACAGGAUUAGAUACCCCAGUAGUCCCUGUCUCUUAUAC
rnacentral:rRNA from 1 species